UUUCCGUAGGUGAACCUGCGGAAGGAUCAUUAAAAAAUUGGACUCCAUUGGUGAGUUCAUUAAUAAUCCUACCCUUUGUGAAUUUGUUUGUUUGAAUAAUUUUUUUUCCAAAAAAAAUUAUUGAAUGUCUUUCCCUGUUUUGGUGGAGCUUGUAAAGUGAAACCAGGCAGGGGAAUGGCAAACAAUAAUUAUUUUUGAAAAAGACCUUUUUUAAAAUUAAACUUUUUGUAUUCAUUUGUCUAAAAUUAUUUUUAUAAUAUAAAAACAACUUUUGACAAUGGAUCUCUUGGUUCUCGCAACGAUGAAGAACGCAGCAAAAUGCGAUAAGUAGUGUGAAUUGCAGAAUACGUGAAUCAUCGAAUCUUCGAACGCAUAUUGCACUUUUUUAGUUUACUAAAAAAGUAUGUCUGUUUGAGUAUCAGUAAAAUAUUCUCAUAAAAAAUUUAUUUUUUAUGGUUAUGAGUGUUUUACAACGAUAACAAGUUGUUUCACUUUAAAUUCUUUGUUAUCAAAAAAAUCAUUAAAAGCUAAUUUUAAAGAUUUUUUAAAAUUGGAUAAAAUUUUCCCGUAAAAAGGAAUAACCUAAACAAUUUUAAAAAAUUAAAAUUGGUUUGAUUUUUCUUGAUUUAAAAAGGAAAAAAAAGUAAAAAUUAACUUGAUCUCAAAUCAGAUAAGAGUACCCGCUGAACUUAAGCAUAUCAAUAAGCGGAGGAAAAGAAACUAACUAGGAUUCCCUCAGUAACGGCGAGUGAAGCGGGAAGAGCUCAAAUUUGAAAUCUUCAAGGUUUUACCUUGACGAAUUGUAGUUUAAAGAAGUGUUUUCUGUUGGAGUUUUGGUAAAAGUUCUUUGGAAAAGGACAUCAUAGAGGGUGAGAAUCCCGUAUUUGACCAUUAUCUCCAGCUUUGUGAUACACUUUCAAAGAGUCGGAUUGUUUGGGAAUGCAGUCCAAAAUGGGUGGUAAAUUUCAUCUAAAGCUAAAUACUGGCGAGAGACCGAUAGCGAACAAGUACCGUGAGGGAAAGAUGAAAAGAACUUUGAAAAGAGAGUUAAACAGUACGUGAAAUUGUCAAAAGGGAAGCGUUUGACACCAGUGUUGUUUUCUCGAAAAUCAAUUAAAAAAGGCCGGAUUUUGUGUUGUAUUGACUUUAUCAGCUUUCUGCACUUUUUUCUUGUCUUUUUUAAUGCACUUUUCGUUUAACAAGUCAACAUCAAUUUCUUUUGUUGUAAAAGGGUCAUUGGAAGGUGGCUUUCUUUUCGGAGAAAGUGUUUAUAGCCUUUGGCCUCUGCAAUCGGAGAGAUUGAGGUCUGCAGCGUAGAUCCUUCGGGUUAGAUACAUUUGUGCUAAGUUAUAGCCUUUCAUAGACAACUUGUUGACUAUGAUCAGUCAUGUAGCUUACUCGCUUAUGCUAUUUUACCUACGCUUAGGAUGUUGAG
rnacentral:misc_RNA from 1 species